UGAAUCCGGUAAUCAAUGGCCACUAUGAUCGUUGCCUUGUAACAACGACGGAAGGUGGAUCCGGAGGCAGGGACAGAGAUGUAUCUCUGGAAAAAGACGGCCAGUAGAAUCCGAACACGUGUCAAAAUGAGCGCCGGGGGAAGGGCAUAACACGUGCAAGUCGAGCGGUAGAGAGAAGCUUGCUUCGCUUGAGAGCGGCGGACGGGUGAGUAAUGCCUAGGAAUCUGCCUGGUAGUGGGGGAUAACGUUCGGAAACGGACGCUAAUACCGCAUACGUCCUACGGGAGAAAGCAGGGGACCUUCGGGCCUUGCGCUAUCAGAUGAGCCUAGGUCGGAUUAGCUAGUUGGUGAGGUAAUGGCUCACCAAGGCGACGAUCCGUAACUGGUCUGAGAGGAUGAUCAGUCACACUGGAACUGAGACACGGUCCAGACUCCUACGGGAGGCAGC
rnacentral:rRNA from 1 species